rnacentral:rRNA from 1 species
CGGACGGGUGAGUAAUGUCUGGGAAACUGCCCGAUGGAGGGGGAUAACUACUGGAAACGGUAGCUAAUACCGCAUAACGUCGCAAGACCAAAGCGGGGGACCUCCGGGCCUCGCGCCAUCAGAUGAACCCAUAUGGGAUUAGCUAGUAGGUGGGGUAAUGGCUCACCUAGGCGGCGAUCCCUAGCUGGUCUGAGAGGAUGACCAGCCACACUGGAACUGAGACACGGUCCAG